rnacentral:tRNA from 1 species
GUCUGGGUGGUGUGUAGUUGGUUAUCACGUUAGUCUCACACACUAAAGGUUCCCAUUUCGAACCUGGGCUCAGACA